AUUAAAAACAACAGAACAUGUUCAAUAGGCCCUGCUCUUUAUAAAAAGAAUAGCAUACCAAUGGCUUUGGGCAAAAAUCUUUUUCUUUCUAUUUAAAAAAAAAUCAGUUUGAAAUGGGAUUGCGAUGAGGCCAAAAUAUAUGGCCCUCAAAAGCAGUGCCUCUGUUCAGGUUUAUGUCAAAUACGGUUAAAAAUAAUAAUUUAAAAAAUACAAACAUUUUGGAUUUUUUAAGUGAUAUGUGUUUGUUGUCGUCAUGAUAAAUUAAGUGCUAGUAUAAAUGCAAGACAUAAGGUGCAGUCUUUUUUCUUUUCUUUGAUCCCUUUUCUUCUGUUUAAUGGCAAAUGACAUUGAGUUUAAUAUUACAUCACUGCCCUCUGCUGUUCAUCAUACUCUCUUGGUAGCUCUUCAAUGCAAAUUGAAGUCGUACAAAAAAAAAUAUCUGUGUGGAGGGAGAAAAGUAACGUAUGGUACAUAGUGGGACACAGUUACACAGUUUCAUAUGUAUGCACAGUCAGACGAGGAACCUCAAAGGACCAGGGGCGGUGGCCGAGUCAAAGCAAUCUGUCCAUUUGCUCUGUCAGAACACAAGAGUGUCACCUCUACUGGAAGACAUGGAGUGAUGCUCUCCAGCUAGUUCAUGCAGUCAACUUGAUCUGCACUGCUCUACUCAUGCCCAGCAUGACCAUCAGGUCCUGAACGACCCUCUAGUCCAGCGGGACCUGCAAGUCCUGGAAAGCCUUUGUCUCCCUGUUUGUGUGAGUGUAUGUGUGUG